rnacentral:tRNA from 1 species
GCCCCCGUAGCUCAGCUGGAUAGAGCGGUGGCCUUCUAAGCCACGGGUCGCAGGUUCGAGUCCUGCCGGGGGCG